rnacentral:rRNA from 1 species
UACGUAGGGGGCGAGCGUUGUCCGGAAUCACUGGGCGUAAAGGGCGUGUAGGCGGCUGGGUAAGCCGCGUGUGAAAUCCCGGGGCUCAACCCCGGAACGGCACGCGGGACUGUCCGGCUCGAGCAUGGUAGAGGCGAGUGGAACUCCUGGUGGAGCGGUGGAAUGCGUAGAGAUCAGGAAGAACACCGGUGGCGAAGGCGGCUCGCUGGGUCUUUGCUGACGCUGAGGCGCGAAAGCGUGGGGAGCAAACAGG